AUCCUUUUAUAGUUUAUAAGUAUGAUGACUGAGUUUUCACACUCAUGUCUGAGAUGUACCUCCUUCAAACCUUAUAAUGACAUGGGCACAUUGCCCACCUGAAG